CUACGGGGUGCAGCAGUGAGGAAUAUUGGACAAUGGUCGAAAGACUGAUCCAGCCAUGCCGCGUGCAGGAUGAAUGCCCUAUGGGUUGUAAACUGCUUUUAUACGGGAAGAACACCACCCACGUGUGGGUGACUGACGGUACCGUAAGAAUAAGGACCGGCUAACUCCGUGCCAGCAGCCGCGGUAAUACGGAGGGUCCAAGCGUUAUCCGGAAUCAUUGGGUUUAAAGGGUCCGUAGGCGGGCUAUUAAGUCAGAGGUGAAAGUUUGCAGCUCAACUGUAAAAUUGCCUUUGAUACUGGUAGUCUUGAGUUAUAGUGAAGUGGUUAGAAUAUGUGGUGUAGCGGUGAAAUGCAUAGUUAUCACAUAGAAUACCAAUUGCGAAGGCAGAUCACUAACUAUAUACUGACGCUGAUGGACGAAAGCGUGGGGAGCGAACGGGAUUAGAUACCCGCGUAGUC
rnacentral:rRNA from 1 species